rnacentral:rRNA from 1 species
GUGGGGAAUCUUAGACAAUGGGCGCAAGCCUGAUCCAGCCAUGCCGCGUGAGUGAUGAAGGCCUUAGGGUUGUAAAGCUCUUUCAGUGAGGACGAUAAUGACGGUACCCACAGAAGAAGCCCCGGCUAACUUCGUGCCAGCAGCCGCGGUAAUACGAAGGGGGCUAGCGUUGUUCGGAUUUACUGGGCGUAAAGCGCACGUAGGCGGAUCGUUAAGUCGGGGGUGAAAUCCUGGAGCUCAACUCCAGAACUGCCUUCGAUACUGGCGAUCUGGAGUCCGGAAGAGGUGAGUGGAACUCCUAGUGUAGAGGUGGAAUUCGUAGAUAUUAGGAAGAACACCAGUGGCGAAGGCGGCUCACUGGUCCGGUACUGACGCUGAGGUGCGAAAGCGUGGGGAGCAAACAGGAUUAGAAACCCCAGUAGUCC